CCCGCUGAACUUAAGCAUAUCAAUAAGCGGAGGAAAAGAAACCAACAGGGAUUGCCUUAGUAACGGCGAGUGAAGCGGCAAAAGCUCAAAUUUGAAAUCUGGCACCUUCGGUGUCCGAGUUGUAAUUUGAAGAAGGUAACUUUGGAGUCAGCUCUUGUCUAUGUUCCUUGGAACAGGACGUCACAGAGGGUGAGAAUCCCGUGCGAUGAGAUGUCUGAUUCUAUGUAAAGUGCUUUCGAAGAGUCGAGUUGUUUGGGAAUGCAGCUCUAAGUGGGUGGUAAAUUCCAUCUAAAGCUAAAUAUUGGCGAGAGACCGAUAGCGAACAAGUACAGUGAUGGAAAGAUGAAAAGAACUUUGAAAAGAGAGUGAAAAAGUACGUGAAAUUGUUGAAAGGGAAGGGUUUGAGAUCAGACUUGGUAUUUUGUAUGUCUUGCUUUCGGGUGGGGCCUCUACAGUUUACUGGGCCAGCAUCGGUUUGGACGGUAGGAUAAUGACAUUGGAAUGUGGCACCACUUCGGUGGUGUGUUAUAGACUUUGUUGAUACUGCCUGUCUAGACCGAGGACUGCGUCUUUGACUAGGAUGCUGGCAUAAUGAUCUUAAACCGCCCGUCUGGAAACC
rnacentral:rRNA from 1 species